rnacentral:rRNA from 1 species
ACGGGUGAGUAACGCGUGGGAAUCUACCCUGAACUGCGGGAUAGCUCCGGGAAACUGGAAUUAAUACCGCAUGUGCCCUGAGGGGCAAAGAUUCAUCGGUUCAGGAUGAGCCCGCGUCCGAUUAGCUAGUUGGUGUGGUAAAGGCCUACCAAGGCGACGAUCGGUAGCUGGUCUAAGAGGAUGAUCAGCCACAUUGGGACUGAGACACGGCCCAAACUCCUACGGGAGGCAGCAGUGGGGAAUAUUGGACAAUGGGCGCAAGCCUGAUCCAGCCAUGCCGCGUGAGUGAUGAAGGCCCUAGGGUUGUAAAGCUCUUUCACCGGGGACGAUAAUGACGGUACCCGGAGAAGAAGCCCCGGCUAACUUCGUGCCAGCAGCCGCGGUAAUACGAAGGGGGCUAGCGUUGUUCGGAAUUACUGGGCGUAAAGCGCACGUAGGCGGACAUUUAAGUCAGGGGUGAAAUCCCGGGGCUCAACCCCGGAACGGCCUUUGAUACUGGGUGUCUUGAGUUCGGAAGAGGUGAGUGGAAUUGCGAGU